rnacentral:rRNA from 1 species
UACGUAGGUGACAAGCGUUGUCCGGAUUUACUGGGCGUAAAGAGCGCGCAGGCGGUCGAUCAAGUCGAGUGUGAAAGCCCCCGGCUCAACUGGGGAGGGUCAUUCGAUACUGAUCGACUCGAAGGCAGGAGAGGGAUGCAGAAUUCCAGGUGUAGCGGUGAAAUGCGUAGGUAUCUGGAGGAAUACCGGUGGCGAAGGCGGCAUCCUGGACCGACAUUGACGCUGAGGAGCGAAAGCUAGGGGAGCAAACGGG